rnacentral:tRNA from 3 species
GAAGACAGAACUCGAGUGGUUUGAGUGUCCCACUUUUAAUGGGAAAGUCUUGGUUCAAGUCCAUGUGUUUUCA